CUCAGGGGAGGGGGAUCCCUCAGCCCAGAUUGCAAGAGGGCGCAGGCCAGGCCAAGGGACCCCACCAGUGCAGG
rnacentral:pre_miRNA from 1 species